rnacentral:rRNA from 1 species
UACGUAGGUGGCAAGCGUUGUCCGGAUUUACUGGGCGUAAAGAGCGCGCAGGCGGUCGUUCAAGUCGCGUGUGAAAGCCCCCGGCUCAACUGGGGAGGGUCACGCGAUACUGAUCGACUCGAAGGCAGGAGAGGGUGGUGGAAUUCCCGGUGUAGUGGUGAAAUGCGUAGAUAUCGGGAGGAACACCAGUGGCGAAGGCGACUACCUGGCCUGUUUCUUGACGCUGAGGCGCGAAAGCUAGGGGAGCAAACGGGG